AUUGAACGCUGGCGGCAUGCUUUACACAUGCAAGUCGAACGGUAACAGGCCGCAAGGUGCUGACGAGUGGCGAACGGGUGAGUAAUGCAUCGGAACGUGCCCAGUCGUGGGGGAUAACGCAGCGAAAGCUGCGCUAAUACCGCAUACGAUCUAUGGAUGAAAGCGGGGGACCGUAAGGCCUCGCGCGAUUGGAGCGGCCGAUGUCAGAUUAGGUAGUUGGUGGGGUAAAGGCUCACCAAGCCGACGAUCUGUAGCUGGUCUGAGAGGACGACCAGCCACACUGGGACUGAGACACGGCCCAGACUCCUACGGGAUGCAGCAGUGGGGAAUUUUGGACAAUGGGCGCAAGCCUGAUCCAGCAAUGCCGCGUGCAGGAAGAGGGCCUUCGGGUUGUAAACUGCUUUUGUACGGAACGAAAAGGCUCUGGAUAAUACCUGGGGCUCAUGACGGUACCGUAAGAAUAAGCACCGGCUAACUACGUGCCAGCCGCCGCCAGUAAGAC
rnacentral:rRNA from 1 species